GGACUAAAAGUGUCAAAAAGUGCACAAGUUUGCACUUUUGCGCAUAUCUCGCGUUCUGAAUAUCCCCGGACACCCAAAAAUUUAUGUAAGCACUAAAAUAUUUUAUUUUAGUGUGUGGCAUGAUAAAAUUCCAUUCGUCGCGUAAUUUGGAUCGUUUUUAGCGUCCGUCCGUGUUUCGUCGUAAUUAGCCGAACAACGGGACCGUACGACCAAACGAACCGACAUCCGGCAUAUUUUUGAGCAUGUUUCAUGUUCCCUAUGCUUAGGCAUCUUUGUAGAGCCUUAAAAAUGGUUUAACGGGUCUUGGAUGUGUCGGAAAUGGCAUUUGGGGGUGUAGGGGCCAAAACUGUCAACUAAUGAAAGUGGCCAUGUGCAGACCUGGUCCUUACGGACCGUAUGCUAUGGACCUUACGGUUCGUAAAGCCCCUCCAGAUCAGCAGAAAGCUGUUUCCAGCUGUUCCAGCUGUUUGUGAGUGUGCAAAUGGUUUUCUAAGCAAUCUAUGGGCUCCCAUGGUAUUGUAAAUCAGUGGGUAAGAGGUGUACGAUCAAGAUCAAAGCUCGUUUAUCGAUAAACGAUCUUAACGGUUCCGAAAAACCUAUAAAUACCCACCUCAACUUCCCCCAAACUCACACCUUGAUCUUGAAUUCUCUAAGUUGGAGACUUUGCUCUUCAUACCUAAGAAUUUAGGAUCAACCCUCCUUGCUUGGACCCUUUGUAAGUGUCCCCUUUCAUGCUUAGAGAAUAUCUUAAGAUCAGAAUUCCAGUAUUGACCUUUUAAGCAUAUGUGAAAUUACCAAAACGCCCCUACGGAGUCUAGGAGGAUUAAGAUUGAUAAAUUUCACAUAAGGACUUAUACCCUACUGUUAUAACUUGGUAAAAUGAGUAGGUUUACUGAUUUAAUCAGACCUGUAACUCAGGUUAUUAUUUAAACCCUUUUACACCCUUUAAAAUGACCAAAAUGCCCUUAUGAGGCAUAAAUUGGGUUUAAAACCAUUUGGGGCAUAAUGGAAGGUAUCAUUCUGAUAUCACAACAUGUUUAAGGCAUAUUAACUUAGGAAACUUGUAUUUGACUCUUAUGGUUGCUCGUUACGCACUUUAUGCGUUCGGAUCGGCGUAGGUAACUAGUUUACCCAUUAUAGCCGAAACGGGUCAAACCAUAUCUUUUCGGUCUCAAAAUCCAGAAUGUGAUUAAGUUACCCAUAUUAAACAAGUAUGCAAGCUUGUUGGGUCAAAACCACAUUCUAAGACGGUCUUCGCCUUAUCGUGCGUUUAAACCGUAAUCUUCAU
rnacentral:lncRNA from 1 species